GGUCAAGUUAAAAAGAGCACUAGGAGAAUGCCUAGGCACCAAGAGGCGAAGAAGGACGUGACAAGCUGCGAAAAGCUGAGGUUAGCUGCAAAUAAGCCAAGCCUCAGAUAUCCGAAUGGGGAAACCCACCUCAAAAGAGGAAUUCUAUAGCCAAUAAAUAACUAUAGGAAGCGAACCAGGUGAACUGAAACAUCUAAGUAACCUGAGGAAGAGAAAGAAAACUCGAUUCCCAAAGUAGCGGCGAGCGAACAGGGAAGAGCCCAAACGUGUAAAAAGAGAAAAUAGCCAGUCGAAUCAUCUGGGAAGACGAACCAAAGAAGGUAACAGUCCCGUAGACGAAGGCGAAGAUAUCCGACACAAAAGAGUACCACGGGACACGAGAAAUUCAGUGGGAAUACAGGGGGACCACCCCCUAAGGCUAAAUACUACUUGGUGACCGAUAGCGAACAAGUACCGUGAGGGAAAGGUGAAAAGAACCCCGGGAGGGGAGUGAAAUAGAAUCUGAAACCUAGUGUUUACAAGCAGCGAAAGUGGCAAAAGCCACGAUCGUGUACUUUUUGUAGAACGGGCCAGCGAGUUACGAUUACAAGCAAGGUUAAACAUUAAAGAUGUGGAGCCGAAGCGAAAGCGAGUCUAAAGAGGGCAAAAGUUAGUAGUCGUAGACCCGAAACCGUGUGAUCUAUCCAUGAGCAGAGUGAAGUUGAAGUAAAAUUCAAUGGAGGCUCGAACCGGGUAGCGUUUAAAAGCUAUCGGAUGACUUGUGGAUAGGGGUGAAAAGCCAAACGAACACGGAGAUAGCUGGUUCUCCUCGAAAUAGCUUUAGGGCUAGCCUCUAGCAAGAAUGAAAAGGGGGUAGAGCACUGACUGGUCAAGGGGCAUGCAUAUGUUACCGAGACCUAUCAAACUCCGAAUACCAAAUCAUACGCUAGGGAGUCAGACUAUGGGGGAUGAGCUUCAUAGUCGAAAGGGAAAGAGCCCAGACCAUCAGCUAAGGUCCCAAAAUUAUAGUUAAGUGGGAAAGGAUGUGGAGUUACUGAGACAACUAGGAUGUUGGCUUAGAAGCAGCCACUCAUUUAAAGAGUGCGUAAUAGCUCACUAGUCAAGUGACUCUGCGCCGAAGAUAACCGGGGCUAAACUAUAUACCGAAGCUAUGGAACGAAAAACGUUGGUAGAGGAGCAAUGUAUGAAGGAAGAAGCAGAAGUUGAAAAGCACUGUGGACAUCAUACAAGAGAGAAUGCUGGCAUGAGUAGCGAGAGGUGAGUGAGAAUCUCACCCGUCGAAAACCUAAGGAUUCCUGAGCAAGGCUCGUCCACUCAGGGUAAGUCGGGACCUAAGGCGAGGCUGAAAAGCGUAGUCGAUGGACAACAGGUUGAAAAUCCUGUACCGAUACAAUCAGUGAGGAAGUGGGGACGCAGAAGGAUAAUAAGAGCGCCCAGUUGGUGAGGCGUGCAAGCGCAAAGGAUGGGAAGUAGGCAAAUCCGCUUUCCGAGAAGUCUAAAGCGUGAUGCGGAUCGAAAACAAGUAGAGAAGCUUAUAACUCCACACUGCCAAGAAAAGCCACUACAAGAGAAGUAUCGCCCGUACCGCAAACCGACACAGGUAGGUGAGGAGAGAAUCCUAAGACGAGCGGAAAAACCUUUGUUAAGGAACUCGGCAAAAUGACCCCGUAACUUCGGGAGAAGGGGAGCCCCUGUAAAAGGGGGCCGCAGUGAAAAGGCCCAAGCGACUGUUUACCAAAAACACAAGUUUCUGCGAAGUCGAAAGACGAAGUAUAGGAGCUGACACCUGCCCGGUGCUGGAAGGUUAAGGGAAAAAGUUAGCAUAAGCGAAGCUUAGAACUGAAGCCCCAGUAAACGGCGGCCGUAACUAUAACGGUCCUAAGGUAGCGAAAUUCCUUGUCGGGUAAGUUCCGACCCGCACGAAAGGUGUAACGAUUUGGG
rnacentral:rRNA from 1 species